GGCAGCAACUGUGUAGCUUUCAUAGGUAACUUGUUCUCGAAUUUUAACUUACACCAGGGAGAACUUCACGCAACGAACUUCUAAAAGUGGUGUAACUAUUCCCCUUUUCUGCAGAAUGAGUCUUGACGUCGUAGCCACCCACAAGCACGACGCCAGAGCUUGAGUCCAAGAAGCCUGGACGAGAGAAGCACGCGCAUCUGUGUUUCUGGCUUCCUCGUAUUCGAAAGAGCUGAGGCGAACAGUUACUGCUU